UACAGAGGGGGCAAGCGUGGUUCGGAAUUACUGGGCGGAAAGGGCGCGUAGGCGGCCGCCUAAGUCAGACGUGAAAUCCCUCGGCUCAACCGGGGAACUGCGUCUGAUACUGGGUGGCUUGAAUCCGGGAGAGGGAUGCGGAAUUCCAGGUGUAGCGGUGAAAUGCGUAGAUAUCUGGAGGAACACCGGUGGCGAAGGCGGCAUCCUGGACCGGCAUUGACGCUGAGGCGCGAAAGCCAGGGGAGCAAACGGG
rnacentral:rRNA from 1 species